UCCCCGUUAGCUCAGCAGGCAGAGCAUCUGACUGUUAAUCAGAGGGUCGCUGGUUCGAGCCCAGCACGAGGAG
rnacentral:tRNA from 1 species